rnacentral:rRNA from 1 species
UUGCUGCAGUUAAAAAGCUCGUAGUUGAACGUUCGGGUUCCGCGGGACGGGGCCGCCCCGCGAGGGACGGCGCCGCCCCGGGGCUCGUGAUAUCUCAUCUCGCCGCCCGUCGCGAGGCGGACGGAGGGAUGGAUGAGGUUACCUGGAAAAAUCGGGGCGAUCUAGGCGGGCGAACCUCGCCAACGAACGAUCGGACAUGGGAUAACGGAAGAGGGCGUCGGCUCGACUUCGUCGGUUCCUCGGGCCGAGGCACGUACGGUGAAUAGGGACGGUCGGGGCCGCCCGUACCGGGUCGUGAGAGGUGAAAUUCUAGGAUCGACCCGAGACGAACCGCCGCGAAAGCAUUCGGCAAGGACGCUUUCAUUAAUCAAGAACGAAAGUCGGGGGAUCGAAGACGAUCAGAUACCGUCGUAGUCCCGACCGUAAACGAUGCCGACCGAGGGCCCGGAGGAGUUACGUACGACCCUCCGGGCCCUCCCGCGAGAAAUCAGGAGUAUUC